UAUGCUUUAUCUUCUUC
rnacentral:sRNA from 1 species